GUUGGGUAGGGGAGCGUUCUGUAAGCCUGCGAAGGUGGCCUGUGAGGGUUGCUGGAGGUAUCAGAAGUGCGAAUGCUGACAUAAGUAACGAUAAAGCGGGUGAAAAGCCCGCUCGCCGGAAGACCAAGGGUUCCUGUCCAACGUUAAUCGGGGCAGGGUGAGUCGACCCCUAAGGCGAGGCCGAAAGGCGUAGUCGAUGGGAAACGGGUUAAUAUUCCCGUACUUGGUGUUACUGCGAAGGGGGGACGGAGAAGGCUAUGUUGGCCGGGCGACGGUUGUCCCGGUUUAAGCGUGUAGGUGUGUGUUCCAGGUAAAUCCGGUUCACUUUAACACUGAGGCGUGACGACGAGGCACUACGGUGCUGAAGCAACAAAUGCCCUGCUUCCAGGAAAAGCCUCUAAGCAUCAGGUAACAUCAAAUCGUACCCCAAACCGACACAGGUGGUCAGGUAGAGAAUACCAAGGCGCUUGAGAGAACUCGGGUGAAGGAACUAGGCAAAAUGGUGCCGUAACUUCGGGAGAAGGCACGCUGACACGUAGGUGAAGUGAUUUACUCAUGGAGCUGAAGUCAGUCGAAGAUACCAGCUGGCUGCAACUGUUUAUUAAAAACACAGCACUGUGCAAACACGAAAGUGGACGUAUACGGUGUGACGCCUGCCCGGUGCCGGAAGGUUAAUUGAUGGGGUCAGCGCAAGCGAAGCUCCUGAUCGAAGCCCCGGUAAACGGCGGCCGUAACUAUAACGGUCCUAAGGUAGCGAAAUUCCUUGUCGGGUAAGUUCCGACCUGCACGAAUGGCGUAAUGAUGGCCAGGCUGUCUCCACCCGAGACUCAGUGAAAUUGAACUCGCUGUGAAGAUGCAGUGUACCCGCGGCAAGACGGAAAGACCCCGUGAACCUUUACUAUAGCUUGACACUGAACAUUGAGCCUUGAUGUGUAGGAUAGGUGGGAGGCUUUGAAGUGUGGACGCCAGUCUGCAUGGAGCCGACCUUGAAAUACCACCCUUUAAUGUUUGAUGUUCUAACGUGGACCCGUAAUCCGGGUUGCGGACAGUGUCUGGUGGGUAGUUUGACUGGGGCGGUCUCCUCCUAAAGAGUAACGGAGGAGCACGAAGGUUGGCUAAUCCUGGUCGGACAUCAGGAGGUUAGUGCAAUGGCAUAAGCCAGCUUGACUGCGAGCGUGACGGCGCGAGCAGGUGCGAAAGCAGGUCAUAGUGAUCCGGUGGUUCUGAAUGGAAGGGCCAUCGCUCAACGGAUAAAAGGUACUCCGGGGAUAACAGGCUGAUACCGCCCAAGAGUUCAUAUCGACGGCGGUGUUUGGCACCUCGAUGUCGGCUCAUCACAUCCUGGGGCUGAAGUAGGUCCCAAGGGUAUGGCUGUUCGCCAUUUAAAGUGGUACGCGAGCUGGGUUUAGAACGUCGUGAGACAGUUCGGUCCCUAUCUGCCGUGGGCGCUGGAGAACUGAGGGGGGCUGCUCCUAGUACGAGAGGACCGGAGUGGACGCAUCACUGGUGUUCGGGUUGUCAUGCCAAUGGCACUGCCCGGUAGCUAAAUGCGGAAGAGAUAAGUGCUGAAAGCAUCUAAGCACGAAACUUGCCCCGAGAUGAGUUCUCCCUGAGACUUAGAGUCUCCUGAAGGAACGUUGAAGACGACGACGUUGAUAGGCCGGGUGUGUAAGCGCAGCGAUGCGUUGAGCUAACCGGUACUAAUGAACCGUGAGGCUUAACCUU
rnacentral:rRNA from 13 species